UACGUAGGGUGCAAGCGUUGUCCGGAAUUAUUGGGCGUAAAGAGCUCGUAGGCGGCUAGUCGCGUCGGCUGUGAAAACCUGGGGCUCAACCCUGGGCUUGCAGUGGAUACGGGCAGACUAGAGGUAGGUAGGGGAGAAUGGAAUUCCCGGUGUAGCGGUGAAAUGCGCAGAUAUCUGGAGGAACACCGGUGGCGAAGGCGGCAUCCUGGACCGACACUGACGCUGAGGAGCGAAAGCCAGGGGAGCAAACGGG
rnacentral:rRNA from 1 species